rnacentral:lncRNA from 1 species
CAUAUUGGAAAAGCCAUUGACUCGUUAAUCUCUCCUAAGCUACAGUCUCUUUGAUCUCUGUACCUUUUAAAAAGUACAUGGAGACACACAAGCUGCCUGUGUCUAGUGAGAAUGAGCUGUCAACAUUGUAGGCUUUCAGGCAAAACUCUUUUAGGUAUAUCCUCAUGAGUCCAUCCAUUGGCGUCUACGCCACUCUGUCUCAUGAUUGUUGUGUGUAUAUUUUAACCCCAGUUACUGGGGUUAAUGUCUGAAAUCUUGGUCCUCUGCCAGAGAGAACAGCCAUUUUCCUUUAGGGCUAUAAUAUGAAGUCUCUUUUUGAGCAAAGUCUUGAAGUCUUGACAGUGGUUUUGAGUCUAUGAACAGCUUUGAAUUUGGGGAGCCAAGUCCUGUUCUGGAUUGCUCCACUUCAGUCCUCUCUAGUUUUCAUGGACUCUGGCUACUCAUCUUACUCCCAUCCCAACUGUUCCACCCAAGGAGGAGGCCUUGUGCUUCUGCACAUUUUGUUCAGUUGCAUCAGUCCUGUGUGAUAGCCAGUGAUCCGUUAGAGGACCGGAAGAUGGAACCAAAGGGGUACUAUAAGGGUUUUGUAGGAACUGGCUGUGCCGGCAUACUCCUGUUAGCUCAGGACUUGGGAAAUGGAGGCAGUGGAUCACUGCUCAUCCUUAGCUACAUAGUGAGUCUGAUGACAAAUUAUGCUACAUGGGACCUGGUCUCAAACAAAACAAGCUCGCUUUGCAGUUUGCCUCCACAAGUCUACUCAUUCUACAGAUAACAGCAGAGAGCGUUGUGCUGGGUAACUGUCUUUUAGUUCUUGCUUUUCUUACUGUACAGUUUGAAAGUGUUAGGUGAUGUACAGAGCAUGUUGCUCGGUUCACCUUUGUUUUUCUUAGCGUAGGAUAAGUACUAAUCUUGGGUCUCUCCAUCCAGAGGCAACCAUUAUUAACAUCCUGUUAUUCUUUAUCUGUUUUUUUUCCCAUUUAAAAAUAAUAAAACAAAGCUUACGUAAUACAGGUUAAUCAGUUACCCGCCUUUCCUGCCCAGUAUUGUUUUAGACAUGUUUCGAAAGUAAUUCUUCAAAACUAAUUAUUUUCAUGGCUGCAUGACUAUACCGUUAUUUAUUUAAUUUUUUUCAGUUGUUGAAUACUUAAGUAUUAUAACUAUGUAUAAUAUUAUAAAUAUGCCACAAUAAACUUAUUUCUGUCU